AUUGACCGCUGGCGGCAGGCCUAACACAUGCAAGUCGAACGAGUGGCGGACGGGUGUGUAAUGUCUGGGAAACUGCCCGAUGGAGGGGGAUAACUACUGGAAACGGUAGCUAAUACCGCAUACCAUCGGAUGUGCCCAGAUGGGAUUAGCUAGUAGGUGGGGUAUCGGCUCACUUAUGCGACGAUCCCUAGCUGGUCUGUGAGGAUGACCAGCAACACUGGAACAGGGACAUGGUCCAGACUACAACGGGAGGCAGCAGUGGGGAAGAUUGCACAAUGGACGGAAGCGUGAGGCAGCCAUGCCGCGUGUAUGAAGAAGGCCUUCGGGUGGAAAAGUACAUUCAGAGAGGAGGCGUUACUCGCAGAGGAAGCACCGGCUAACUCCGUGACAGCAGCGGCGGUAAUAC
rnacentral:rRNA from 1 species